GAUAGCAGCUGGAAACGGCUGGUAAUACCGCAUAAGCGCACGGUGCUGCAUGGCACAGUGUGAAAAACUCCGGUGGUAUAAGAUGGACCCGCGUCUGAUCAGCUAGUUGGUGAGAUAACAGCCCACCAAGGCGACGAUCAGUAGCCGACCUGAGAGGGUGACCGGCCACAUUGGGACUGAGACACGGCCCAGACUCCUACGGGAGGCAGCAGUGGGGAAUAUUGCACAAUGGAGGAAACUCUGAUGCAGCGACGCCGCGUGAGUGAAGAAGUAAUUCGUUAUGUAAAGCUCUAUCAGCAGGGAAGAUAGUGACGGUACCUGACUAAGAAGCUCCGGCUAAAUACGUGCCAGCAGCCGCGGUAAUACGUAUGGAGCAAGCGUUAUCCGGAUUUACUGGGUGUAAAGGGAGUGUAGGUGGCCAUGCAAGUCAGAAGUGAAAAUCCGGGGCUCAACCCCGGAACUGCUUUUGAAACUGUAAGGCUGGAGUGCAGGAGGGGUGAGUGGAAUUCCUAGUGUAGCGGUGAAAUGCGUAGAUAUUAGGAGGAACACCAGUGGCGAAG
rnacentral:rRNA from 1 species